AGUGAACGCUGGCGGUAGGUCUAACACAUGCAAGUCGAACGGCAGCACAGUAAGAGCUUGCUCUUACGGGUGGCGAGUGGCGGACGGGUGAGGAAUACAUCGGAAUCUACUUUUUCGUAGGGGAUAACGUAGGGAAACUUACGCUAAUACCGCAUACGACCUACGGGUGAAAGCAGGGGAUCUUCGGACCUUGCGCGAUUGAAUGAGCCGAUGUCGGAUUAGCUAGUUGGCGGGGUAAAGGCCCACCAAGGCGACGAUCCGCAGCUGGUCUGAGAGGAUGAUCAGCCACACUGGAACUGAGACACGGUCCAGACUCCUACGGGAGGCAGCAGUGGGGAAUAUUGGACAAUGGGCGCAAGCCUGAUCCAGCCAUACCGCGUGGGUGAAGAAGGCCUUCGGGUUGUAAAGCCCUUUUGUUGGGAAAGAAAAGCAGCAGGUUAAUACCCCGCUGUUCUGACGGUACCCAAAGAAUAAGCACCGGCUAACUUCGUG
rnacentral:rRNA from 1 species